rnacentral:lncRNA from 1 species
GGACCAGAUGGCCUUAAAUGGGUGACCUCAGCACUUCCACAAGAGGACCUCGUCAUUACCCGUGGCUUUGCCCUUGCAUGGAAUGGAACAAUCGCCCACACAGCAGACUUGCUGUAAUACCAUCCUCUGAGAAAACAAUUAAGAAGACUGAAAAAUAAAGCCCAAACAUUGGCAGUUAGGCUAUUAGGGGGAAUCAAACUUGUGUUUUGUUUUGUUUUUUAAAGCCUGAACAGCAUGGCCUUAGGAGGAAAAUCUGAGACAGGACAGUACCACUACCACUCAGUAGGAAAGGAAAGUAAGUGGAUUUUCCCAUCAUUUUUAAGCAGUUAGUCAUCUUCAGGGAGGGACAGUGGGGUCUUUCAUCUUUUUGAUUUACAC